rnacentral:rRNA from 1 species
UACGUAGGGCGCAAGCGUUGUCCGGAAUUAUUGGGCGUAAAGAGCUCGUAGGCGGCUCGUCGCGUCAGCUGUGAAAACCUGGGGCUCAACCCCGGGCCUGCAGCCGAUACGGGCGAGCUAGAAUUCGGUAGGGGAGACUGGAAUUCCUGGUGUAGCGGUGAAAUGCGCAGAUAUCAGGAGGAACACCGGUGGCGAAGGCGGGUCUCUGGGCCGAUAUUGACGCUGAGGAGCGAAAGCGUGGGGAGCGAACAGG